UCCUACGGGAGGCAGCAGUGGGGAAUAUUGGACAAUGGACCACAAGUCUGAUCCAGCAAUUCUGUGUGCACGAUGACGUUUUUCGGAAUGUAAAGUGCUUUCAGUCGGGAAGAAGUCAGUGACGGUACCGACAGAAGAAGCGACGGCUAAAUACGUGCCAGCAGCCGCGGUAAUACGUAUGUCGCAAGCGUUAUCCGGAUUUAUUGGGCGUAAAGCGCGUCUAGGCGGCAAGAAAAGUCUGAUGUGAAAAUGCGGAGCUCAACUCCGUAUGGCGUUGGAAACUGCCUUACUAGAGUACUGGAGAGGUAGGCGGAACUACAAGUGUAGAGGUGAAAUUCGUAGAUAUUUGUAGGAAUGCCGAUGGGGAAGCCAGCCUACUGGACAGAUACUGACGCUAAAGCGCGAAAGCGUGGGUAGCAAACAGGAUUAGAUACCCUGGUAGUCC
rnacentral:rRNA from 1 species